rnacentral:rRNA from 1 species
UACAGAGGGUGCUAGCGUUAAUCGGAUUUACUGGGCGUAAAGCGUGCGUAGGUGGUUUGAUAAGUCGGUUGUGAAAGCCCCGGGCUCAACCUGGGAAUUGCGGCCGAUACUGUCAGACUCGAAAACGGUAGAGGGAGGUGGAACUCCAGGUGUAGCGGUGAAAUGCGUAGAUAUCUGGAAGAACACCGAUGGCGAAGGCAGCCUCCUGGGCCUGUUUUGACACUGAGGCACGAAAGCGUGGGUAGCAAAUGGG